ACCGGUUAUUGUUAAUCCUAAGAUCAGAUUGAAUUCAGUUUUUUGGGAUAUGGUUAACUCUACAUUUGAUGGGUUGGAGAAAGGUAAGCCACCCAUCCGAUCAUCUGAGGGUACUGGAGGAACUUAUUUUAUGCAAGAUCCAUUAGGCCAGAAGUUUGUUUCUGUUUUUAAGCCCAUCGAUGAGGAGCCAAUGGCUGUGAAUAAUCCCCAGGGUCUACCUGUCUCAUCGAAUGGUGAAGGGCUGAAAAGGGGGACAAAGGUAGGAGAAGGAGCAGUG
rnacentral:misc_RNA from 1 species